AGUGAACGCUGGCGGUAGGCCUAACACAUGCAAGUCGAACGGCAGCACAGUAAGAGCUUGCUCUUACGGGUGGCGAGUGGCGGACGGGUGAGGAAUACAUCGGAAUCUACUUUUUCGUGGGGGAUAACGUAGGGAAACUUACGCUAAUACCGCAUACGACCUACGGGUGAAAGCAGGGGAUCUUCGGACCUUGCGCGAUUGAAUGAGCCGAUGUCGGAUUAGCUAGUUGGCGGGGUAAAGGCCCACCAAGGCGACGAUCCGUAGCUGGUCUGAAAGGAUGAUCAGCCACACUGGAACUGAGACACGGUCCAGACUCCUACGGGAGGCAGCAGUGGGGAAUAUUGGACAAUGGGCGCAAGCCUGAUCCAGCCAUACCGCGUGGGUGAAGAAGACCUUCGGGUUGUAAAGCCCUUUUGUUGGGAAAGAAAAGCAGCAGGUUAAUACCCCGCUGUUCUGACGGUACCCAAAGAAUAAGCACCGGCUAACUUCGUG
rnacentral:rRNA from 1 species